UACGUAGGGGGCAAGCGUUGUCCGGAUUUAUUGGGCGUAAAGAGCGUGUAGGCAGCCAGACAGGUCAGCUGUGAAAACUCGAGGCUCAACCUCGAGACGUCGGUUGAAACCGUCUGGCUAGAGUCCGGAAGAGGAGAGUGGAAUUCCUGGUGUAGCGGUGAAAUGCGCAGAUAUCAGGAGGAACACCGGUGGCGAAGGCGGGUCUCUGGGCCGAUACUGACGCUGAGGAGCGAAAGCGUGGGGAGCGAACAGG
rnacentral:rRNA from 1 species